rnacentral:rRNA from 1 species
GGGACUUUCGGGGCCACAUGCUAUCGGAUGCGCCUACGUGGGAUUAGCUAGUUGGGUGAGGUAAAUGGCUCACCAAGGGGACGAUCCCUAGUUGGUUUGAGAGGGAUGAUCAGCCACACUGGAACUGAGACACGGGUCCAGACUCUUACGGGAGGCAGCAGUGGGGAAAUAUUGGACAAAUGGGCGCAAGCCUGAUCCAGCCAUGCCGCGUGUGUGAAGAAGGCCCUCGGGUUGUAAAGCACUUUCAGUUGGGAGGAAGGGUUGUGUGUUAAUAGUACACAGCCUUGACGUUACCAACAGAAGAAGCACCGGCUAACUCUGUGCCAGCAGCCGCGGUAAUACAGAGGGUGCAAGCGUUAAUCGGAAUUACUGGGCGUAAAGCGCACGUAGGCGGUUUUUUAAGUCAGAUGUGAAAGCCCCGGGCUCAACCUGGGAAUUGCAUUUGAAACUGGAAAACUAGAGUGUGUGAGAGGGGGGUAGAAUUCCAAGUGUAGCGGUGAAAUGCGUAGAGAUUUGGAGNNGAAUACCAGNUGGCGAAGGCGGCCCCCUGGCACAACACUGACGCUCAGGUGCGAAAGCGUGGGGAGCAAACAGGAUUANAUACCCUGGUAGUCCACGCCGUAAACGAUGUCUACUAGCUGUUCGUGACCUUGUGUCGUGAGUAGCGCAGCUAACGCACUAAGUAGACCGCCUGGGGAGUACGGUCGCAANGAUUAAAACUCAAAUGAAUUGACGGGGGCCCGCACAAGCGGUGGAGCAUGUGGUUUAAUUCGACGCAACGCGAAGAACCUUACCUACUCUUGACAUCCAGAGAAGACUGCAGAGAUGCGGUUGUGCCUUCGGGAACUCUGAGACAGGUGCUGCAUGGCUGUCGUCAGCUCGUGUUGUGAAAUGUUGGGUUAAGUCCCGCAACGAGCGCAACCCUUAUCCUUAGUUGCCAGCACGUAAUGGUGGGAACUCUAGGGAGACUGCCGGUGAUAAACCGGAGGAAGGUGGGGACGACGUCAAGUCAUCAUGGCCCUUACGAGUAGGGCUACACACGUGCUACAAUGGUAUGUACAGAGGGAGGCAAGCUGGCGACAGUGAGCGGAUCUCUUAAAGCAUAUCGUAGUCCGGAUCUGCAGUCUGCAACUCGACUGAGUGAAGUCGGA